rnacentral:rRNA from 1 species
UACAGAGGGUGCAAGCGUUAAUCGGAAUUACUGGGCGUAAAGCGUGCGUAGACGGUUCCGUAAGUCAGAUGUGAAAGCCCCGGGCUCAACCUGGGAAUUGCAUUUGAGACUGCGUAGCUAGGGUGCGGAAGAGGGAAGCGGAAUUUCCGGUGUAGCGGUGAAAUGCGUAGAUAUCGGAAGGAACACCAGUGGCGAAAGCGGCUUCCUGGUCCAGCACCGACGUUCAGGCACGAAAGCGUGGGGAGCAAACAGG